GAUGAACGCUGGCGGCGUGCCUAAUACAUGCAAGUCGAGCGAACAGACGAGGAGCUUGCUCCUCUGACGUUAGCGGCGGACGGGUGAGUAACACGUGGAUAACCUACCUAUAAUACUGGGAUAACUUCGGGAAACCGGAGCUAAUACCGGAUAAUAUAUUGAACCGCAUGGUUCAAUAGUGAAAGACGGUUUUGCUGUCACUUAUAGAUGGAUCCGCGCCGCAUUAGCUAGUUGGUAAGGUAACGGCUUACCAAGGCAACGAUGCGUAGCCGACCUGAGAGGGUGGUCGGCCACACUGGAACUGAGACACGGUCCAGACUCCUACGGGAGGCAGCAGUAGGGAAUCUUCCGCAAUGGGCGAAAGCCUGACGGAGCAACGCCGCGUGAGUGAUGAAGGUCUUCGGAUCGUAAAACUCUGUUAUUAGGGAAGAACAAAUGUGUAAGUAACUAUGCACGUCUUGACGGUACCUAAUCAGAAAGCCACGGCUAACUACGUG
rnacentral:rRNA from 1 species